rnacentral:rRNA from 1 species
AAGUCGAGCGGCAAGGUGGAGCAAUCCAUCNUAGAGCGGCGGACUGGUGAGUAACGCGUGGGUGACNUACCCUAAGGCCGGGGAUGGCCGUUAGAAAUAGCGGGUAAUACCGGAUAUGGUCUGUUUGUUAUGGCGGACAGAAGAAAGGAGCAUUUGCUCCGCCUUGGGAUGGGCCCGCGUUCCAUUAGCUAGUUGGUGAGGUAAAGGCCCACCAAGGCGAUGAUGGGUAGCCGGCCUGAGAGGGUGAACGGCCACAUUGGGACUGAGAUACGGCCCAAACUCCUACGGGAGGCAGCAGCUAAGAAUAUUCCGCAAUGGGCGAAAGCCUGACGGAGCGACGCCGCGUGGACGAGGAAGGCCGAAAGGUUGUAAAGUUCUUUUGUUGUUGAAGAAUAAGCGGAGGAGGGAAUGCCUUCGUGAUGACUUUAGGCGACGAAUAAGCCCCGGCUAAUUACGUGCCAGCAGCCGCGGUAACACGUAAGGGGCGAGCGUUGUUCGGAAUUAUUGGGCGUAAAGGGCGCGUAGGCGGUUAGGCAAGUCUGGUGUGAAAUGGGGGAGCUCAACUCCGUCACUGCAUUGGAAACUGCGUAACUUGAGUCAUGGAGGGGGAGUUGGAAUUCCUGGUGUAGGGGUGAAAUCUGUAGAUAUCAGGAAGAACACCGGUGGCGAAGGCGAAC